UUAACAGCCCUGGAGACAGAAAUCCUUUAUGUAUCCACAGAGCAGGUCCAGCUCCACAUCACAAAUAUGCCGCAACCCUGCACUGCAGAAACCGCCCCUAGGUUUGAGGCAUUAGACCAGUUUCCAUAGACAUUCAGCAUAUGGCCUGU
rnacentral:sRNA from 1 species